AUGAACGCUAGCGACAGGCUUAACACAUGCAAGUCGAGGGGCAGCACAGGUAGCAAUACCGGGUGGCGACCGGCGCACGGGUGAGUAACGCGUAUGCAACUUACCUAUCAGAGGGGGAUAACCCGGCGAAAGUCGGACUAAUACCGCAUGAAGCAGGGGCCCCGCAUGGGGAUAUUUGCUAAAGAUUCAUCGCUGAUAGAUAGGCAUGCGUUCCAUUAGGCAGUUGGCGGGGUAACGGCCCACCAAACCGACGAUGGAUAGGGGUUCUGAGAGGAAGGUCCCCCACAUUGGUACUGAGACACGGACCAAACUCCUACGGGAGGCAGCAGUGAGGAAUAUUGGUCAAUGGGCGUAAGCCUGAACCAGCCAAGUCGCGUGAGGGAUGAAGGUUCUAUGGAUCGUAAACCUCUUUUAUAAGGGAAUAAAGUGCGGGACGUGUCCCGUUUUGUAUGUACCUUAUGAAUAAGGAUCGGCUAACUCCGUGCCAGCAGCCGCGGUAAUACGGAGGAUCCGAGCGUUAUCCGGAUUUAUUGGGUUUAAAGGGUGCGUAGGCGGCCUUUUAAGUCAGCGGUGAAAGUCUGUGGCUCAACCAUAGAAUUGCCGUUGAAACUGGGAGGCUUGAGUAUGUUUGAGGCAGGCGGAAUGCGUGGUGUAGCGGUGAAAUGCUUAGAUAUCACGCAGAACCCCGAUUGCGAAGGCAGCCUGCCAAGCCAUGACUGACGCUGAUGCACGAAAGCGUGGGGAUCAAACAGGAUUAGAUACCCUGGUAGUCCACGCAGUAAACGAUGAUCACUAGCUGUUUGCGAUACACUGUAAGCGGCACAGCGAAAGCGUUAAGUGAUCCACCUGGGGAGUACGCCGGCAACGGUGAAACUCAAAGGAAUUGACGGGGGCCCGCACAAGCGGAGGAACAUGUGGUUUAAUUCGAUGAUACGCGAGGAACCUUACCCGGGUUUGAACGCAUUCGGACCGAGGUGGAAACACCUCUUCUAGCAAUAGCCGUUUGCGAGGUGCUGCAUGGUUGUCGUCAGCUCGUGCCGUGAGGUGUCGGCUUAAGUGCCAUAACGAGCGCAACCCUUGCCACUAGUUACUAACAGGUGAUGCUGAGGACUCUGGUGGGACUGCCAGCGUAAGCUGCGAGGAAGGCGGGGAUGACGUCAAAUCAGCACGGCCCUUACAUCCGGGGCGACACACGUGUUACAAUGGCGUGGACAAAGGGAAGCCACCUGGCGACAGGGAGCGAAUCCCCAAACCACGUCUCAGUUCGGAUCGGAGUCUGCAACCCGACUCCGUGAAGCUGGAUUCGCUAGUAAUCGCGCAUCAGCCAUGGCGCGGUGAAUACGUUCCCGGGCCUUGUACACACCGCCCGUCAAGCCAUGGGAGCCGGGGGUACCUGAAGUCCGUAACCGCGAGGAUCGGCCUAGGGUAAAACUGGUGACUGGGGCU
rnacentral:rRNA from 1 species